rnacentral:rRNA from 1 species
GAUGAACGCUGGCGGCGUGCUUAACACAUGCAAGUCGAACGAAGCGCUUAAGCUGAUUUCUUCGGAUUGAUUCUUAGGUGACUGAGUGGCGGACGGGUGAGUAACGCGUGGGUAACCUGCCUCAUACAGGGGGAUAACAGUCAGAAAUGGCUGCUAAUACCGCAUAAGCGCACAGUACCGCAUGGUACAGUGUGAAAAACUCCGGUGGUAUGAGAUGGACCCGCGUCUGAUUAGCUGGUUGGUGGGGUAACGGCCACCAAGGCGACGAUCAGUAGCCGGCCUGAGAGGGUGAACGGCCACAUUGGGACUGAGACACGGCCCAA